rnacentral:rRNA from 1 species
GAUGAACGCUGGCGGCGUGCCUAAUACAUGCAAGUCGAGCGAAGAGGGGACGGGUGUGUAACACGUGGAUAAAAUGCUAUAAGACGGGGAUAAAUUAGGGAAAAAGGAGCUAAUACGGAUACUUAUAACUGGAUCAGCGUGGCAUUAGAUAGUUGGUAAGGUAACGGCUUACCAAGGCAACGAUGCAUAGCCGACCUGAGAGGGUGAUCUGCCACACUGGAACUGAGACACGGUCCAGACUCCGACGGGAGGCAGCAGUGGGGAAUCUUCCGCAAUGGGCGAAAGCCUGACGUAGCAACGCCGCGUGAGUGAUGAAGGUCUUCGGAUCGUAAAACUCUGUUAUUAGGGAAGCGUUACCUAAUCAGAAAGCCACGGCUAACUACGUGCCAGCAGCCGCGGUAAUUC